rnacentral:rRNA from 1 species
AGUGAACGCUGGCGGUAGGCCUAACACAUGCAAGUCGAACGGCAGCACAGUAAGAGCUUGCUCUUACGGGUGGCGAGUGGCGGACGGGUGAGGAAUACAUCGGAAUCUACUUUUUCGUGGGGGAUAACGUAGGGAAACUUACGCUAAUACCGCAUACGACCUACGGGUGAAAGCAGGGGAUCUUCGGACCUUGCGCGAUUGAAUGAGCCGAUGUCGGAUUAGCUAGUUGGCGGGGUAAAGGCCCGCCAAGGCGACGAUCCGUAGCUGGUCUGAGAGGAUGAUCAGCCACACUGGAACUGAGACACGGUCCAGACUCCUACGGGAGGCAGCAGUGGGGAAUAUUGGACAAUGGGCGCAAGCCUGAUCCAGCCAUACCGCGUGGGUGAAGAAGGCCUUCGGGUUGUAAAGCCCUUUUGUUGGGAAAGAAAAGCAGCAGAUUAAUACCCCGCUGUUCUGACGGUACCCAAAGAAUAAGCACCGGCUAACUUCGUG